UACGGAGGGUCCAAGCGUUAUCCGGAAUCAUUGGGUUUAAAGGGUCCGUAGGCGGUUUUGUAAGUCAGUGGUGAAAGCCCAUCGCUCAACGGUGGAACGGCCAUUGAUACUGCAAGACUUGAAUUAUUAGGAAGUAACUAGAAUAUGUAGUGUAGCGGUGAAAUGCUUAGAUAUUACAUGGAAUACCAAUUGCGAAGGCAGGUUACUAACAAUAUAUUGACGCUGAUGGACGAAAGCGUGGGUAGCGAACAGG
rnacentral:rRNA from 1 species